rnacentral:rRNA from 1 species
AACGAACGCUGGCGGCAGGCUUAACACAUGCAAGUCGAACGAACGUAGCAAUACGUUAGUGGCGCACGGGUGAGUAACACGUGGAUAUCUGCCUUUUGGUUCGGGAUAACCCUGGGAAACUAGGGCUAAUACCGAAUGGUUCCUACGGGAUAAAGAUUUAUCGCCAAAAGAUGAGUCCGCGUCCGAUUAGCUAGUUGGUG